CAGUAGCCACGGUAAUACGUAGGUGACAAGCGUUGUCCGGAAUUAUUGGGCGUAAAGGGAGCGCAGGCGGUUGGAAUAGUCUGAUGUGAAAGCCCACGGCUUAACCGUGGAAUUGCAUUGGAAACUGUCCAACUUGAAUGCAGAAGAGGAAAGCGGAAUUCCAUGUGUAGCGGUGAAAUGCGUAGAUAUUGGGAAGAACACCGGUGGCGAAGGCGGCGACCUGGUCCAUUACUGACGCUGAGGCGCGAAAGCGUGGGGAGCAAACAGGAUUAGAUACCCGUGUAGUCCCUGUCUCUUAUAC
rnacentral:rRNA from 1 species